AGCCCCGAAGUGGGACGUGUCGGCCGCAGGUAUCGCUCGGUCGGCCUGAGGUCCCCGGCCUGGUGGCCCCAGGACGUUCCCCUCGCAUGGCGGAGUGCUGCGGACCACGCCCAUGAAGCCCGCAGUCCUCCUACUCGCGCUGUUGCUCUGGCCUUCAUCCCUGCCGGCCUUCCCGAAGCCGGAGUCUCGCUAUGUUGCCCAGACUGGUCUCCAACUCCUGGCCUCAAGCCAUGCUUCCACCUCGGCCUCCCAAAGUUCUGUAUUAGUUUCUGCAUUUUUCAUGUAAAUAUGAAAUGCACCCCUUGGUGACUUUUGAAAAGGCAUGAAAUUCAAAUUUCACUGUUCAUAAAAUAAAAUUUUAUUGGAACCCAG